rnacentral:rRNA from 1 species
UACGUAGGGGGCAAGCGUUGUCCGGAUUCAUUGGGCGUAAAGAGCGUGUAGGCGGCCAGGUAGGUCGGUUGUGAAAACUGGAGGCUCAACCUUCAGAGGUCGACCGAAACCAUCUGGCUAGAGUCCGGGAGAGGAGAGUGGAAUUCCUGGUGUAGCGGUGAAAUGCGCAGAUAUCAGGAAGAACACCCGUGGCGAAAGCGGCUCUCUGGAACGGUACUGACGCUGCGACGCGAAAGCGUGGGGAGCGAACAGG